CAGAGAUAGGCACCAUAAUUCCAAAUAGGCAUCUAGAUCAGGGGUCGAGAACCUUUUCGUGUACAUGAGCUGUUUAUUAAAAAAAUUGCAAAACCAUGAUUUUUAAACAGCCGCGAUGCUUGGGAUAAAAAAAACAUACCAUAUUACCUAAAAAAAAAAGGACUAAUAUAUUUUAUUAAGUAAUUUCUUUGGGAAUUGGAAGGUAUUA